rnacentral:rRNA from 1 species
UGUAAGCGUAUACCAAAGUUGUUGCAGUUAAAACGCUCGUAGUCGGAAUUUGGCAGUUCCGGAUGUGUGCACGUCGUGUGCGCACUUCGCGGGGAUUGCUUUUGUGGUCUUGCGUAGGAUGAGGCACUUUUAUUAGUGAACGUCCUCACGCAACCACUUUUUACUGUGAGAAAAUCAGAGUGCUCAAAGCAGGCAUUUGCCGUGAAUGUAUUAGCAUGGAAUAAUAGAAUAGGACUUGGUUCUAUUUUGUUGGUUUGUUGGGACUGAGUAAUGAUAAAGAGGGACAGUUGGGGGCAUUUGUAUUUCGGUGCUAGAGGUGAAAUUCUUAGAUUACCGAAAGACAAACUGCUGCGAAAGCGUCUGCCAAGGAUGUUUUCAUUGA